rfam:Saccharophagus degradans 2-40, complete genome.
UGUUUUGUAGCUCAGUAGGGUAGAGCAAUCGAUAUGAUUCGAUCUGUCGUGGGUUCAAUUCCCAUCAAAACAA